ensembl:lncRNA HCG18 HLA complex group 18
GCCUUUUAACAUUCAAGGAUUAGGUAAGUUCUCCCCGCGGUAGACUUCAAAUACUCUUUGUCCUGCCCCUGCUUGGCGAAAUUUACCGAAAUUAUCUACCUAUCCCGCUGGAGUGGGAGCCGGGGGAGAGCUGGAACCGCGUCUCUGCUGCUCACCUUUGUGUCCUUAGCUCCUUCGCAUGGGGUCCGACCGCAACACGUGCGCUGGAUAAACGCUUGUUAACUGGGUGAGAGCCAAGGCCUGUUCUUUCCACUUCUGGGGCUGUGACUUGAGUUUCUCCGCAGGAGCAGAUAGUGUUUGUGUAGGGACUGCGGACUUUUGCAUUACAGCCUCCCUGCUUUGCCCGCCUGCUGCUGGAAGCUUAACAGAGCUCCCUCUUUGCCCACUAGCAGGGCAUUAGCUGGUGCUGAAGACAGUGGCUGCUUGGCGAGCCUGGAUCUCCAAGUGACCCCCUCAGCAACUCCUGAUGAACAGGACUGAAGCCAAUAUUAAAGCAAGUCAACCAAAGGUUCUCUGGUGUAGACAAGACAGCAAAAGGACAGACUACCUUGUGGAACCUAGCAUUGUUCUCCUUCUGCAGCACUAAGUAACAUUUGUUCUCCGUUAAGAUCUUUGCAAACCACACACAAGAAUUGCUGGUCAUCCUGCCAAUAGAUGCUGCUCACAGAACCAAAUUUCCUGUGCUGAAUUGUCACUCAUGGGCCUGAGAGUAGGAGACUGGAGACCAAGGUGGCUAGAAUCCAGUUGGGCCUGAUGUCUCCCUGUUGAAAGGGCUCCUUGUGGAAUGAAUAGCACAUGGCUCCUGUGGUGGAUCUGAUAGUGGCAUAGCACCAAGUGAUGCAGGCCUGCCAGGGGCCACAGACACAGAAGAUGCUCCCGGGGUCCCCCAUGUACUCCAGACACACUGCAGGCCACCUCUCCCAGCAGGUUGCCAGUCAUGGGCCCCAUCAUCAUGACUUCUGUCCAAGGUGUGCUCGGAAAUCUCUUCCUUAACUGUGACUUUCUGACAGGUGGAGGAUGUGGUCAGGAGUGGGAAAAGGAUUCGAGACGGGAAGAGGGAGGGGUUCAGGAUGAAGAGAGAUAAUCUGUGCCACAGAUGCUGGCCCUGCAGUUAGCUCCCACCUAGUCCGUGCACACACAUUCUAAUCCCCUCCCAUUCCUUUACAUGCUGCGGCCAGAGAGGCCUUUCUCAAAGUGGAAGUCUCAUCCUCACUUCUCUGGUUACAGUGCUGGGCCAUGGGUAACUUACAAGGCUUAGCAGGAACUGUCUGCGCACUCCCCCUUCCUGCCCACUACCUUGUUUCCCUCCAGUUGCGAGAGAAAACAUUGAUUGAGCAUUAACUAUGUGCCAGGCUUGUCCUAAGUCCUUUGCAUGUAUUCACUCAAACAAUCCUCACAACAUUCCUAUCACAUCUCCCAUUUCACAGUGAGGGUUCUAAAGCACGUAGUGGGUGAGGAACUUGUCCAGGGUCACACAACUAAGUGGGGGUGGAGAAACAUCAAAUCUAGGUGGUCCAGGUGGUGGCCAGAACCCAUCAGCACCUCACUACAGCUGCCUCCAGUUUCUCGCUCUAGGAAAUACUCUUCCCUGUCAACUCCUGUUGUCCUCUGGGCUCAGUUGACAUGUCAUCUCCUUGAGGAGGACAUCCUGAGAUGCUCCCCGACUAGGGUGGGCACCCACUUCCACACUCCAAAUGCCUAUUUGACCUGUGUAUCGCUGCAUCCCCACUGCCUGGCAGAUAGCAGGCCCCUAAUAAAUAUGAUUUGAGCAAAUAAAUAUAGUUCUUCAAAAAAUAGGGAGGACUUCUUGCUUCAGGUAAUGGUAGGCUAGGACAUUUGGACCAACCCUCCUGCAGAAAAUAGCCAUUUAUUUUGAUGCAAUAUAUCUGGCUAUGACUAGAGAUUUCAAAUAUUUGGAGGGCUAUUAUGUGAAGAACUAAACUUACUCUUUGUGACAUAGAGGUCAGAAAUUGGUCGUUUCCAUAGAGUAUGAGAGAGACAGAAUUGUGCUCAUCAUAAGUAUCUUUUUUAAAAGUUAGACUUAAUAAAAUGGGCUGCCUUGGUAGGUGGUGAGUUCUCUGUCACGAAAGAGAUUCAGCCACUUGCUCUGAGAAAGCAUGGAGAAUAUCAACAUUGUAAGGGUCGACCACCUCAUCUCUGAGGCCCCCUCCUCACUUAGGUUGCCAUUGCAGGUGGAACACUGGGCUGAGUGUCAAAGAACCUGGGUUCCACAAGCUGUGCGACCAUGGCUGGUUGUUUUGGAUCUCAUUCCUAAUAUCUGUUAGUUAAGCUGACCCGUCAAUACUGACCCACUUCACAGAGUUAUGAAGGGAUUAAAUUAGGUAUUACAUGUAAAUCUGUUUUGUUUGCUUUUUGUUGUUCUUUUUUGUUUUGCUUUUUUCUUUGCAUUAUGAAAUCCCAAGUCAACUUUUUCCAUUCUUUUAUUUUUUUAAAAAUUGACAUCAUCAUUAUAACCACAAAAUAAUUUUUAAAAUGGAAAAAAAAAACUCACCUGCAACCCCACAAUCUAAUACAAUAAUCAUACUUUUUUCCCUUUAUUCUCCUUUAUUGUGACCAAGGAUGACUUUGGGCAUUGCUGUGAGGAACUAUUUCGUUUAACACCCUACUACCUGAACAUGAUGCGUACUCAGCCUUUCACCACCCCCCAAGUAGCUACACAUGAUGUGAUAAUAGUAUUGGUGGUGGUUUUAGAGAGUUGGAGAGAAAACUGAAGUUGGAUUUGGGUAAAAGAAAAAAGAGUGGGAAUUAUUUUUUCUCCAUUCUAAAGCCCAUAAAGCAAUGUUAAUUGUUCCCACCCCUCUGCUAUUCUGUCUCCUCAGGUACUGUGUGCAGAAAUGUGAUUGAGAUUCAAGUCAGGGCCUCUCUGCCCUUUUCCCUCCAGAAACAAAACCAAGAUAAUUUAUCCUGAACACGGUGAAAAAAGGAAGGGAGGGAGGAGAAAAAGUCCGGGUCUCACCUGGGAUUCUCUGUCUCCUGCAACAUGAAGGAUUUAGCCUGGGAGGAGGUGGUGAGAACUCUGGGAGAGAAAAAAGAAGGAAAGAAUAGUUUUACCCAUGCUGAAGUUAAUUUAAACCUUCACCUAGAGAAGCAAAAAAAAAAACCCACACUUUCCCAUUUUGUGCCUCCCUUCCUAGAGUUUUAGCCAAAGGUUUAGCUAAGUAAUUGGUUUUACCAGGGCACUCACUCCUCCUAUCCCAAGUCUGUUUGACUCCCUCCCCAUCAUCCUCCUCACCUCUUUUCAGGCAGGGUGGGGAUAGCAGCAGGAGGAGAUUUUGGGAGCCUGGCAACUCCUGCAAGGACCGCAGGACAGCCCCUCUGUGGGGAUGCGUGGUGCCCCAUCUGCCGCCCUUCUGAAGAAUGCACUGCCUUCACUUUUUACUGUGUUAGAGUCCAUCCAGACUGUUCUAUCCAAAAAAGUUUCUUUUUCCCCCACAGGCAAUCAGGAAAUGAUUCCUUUCCCGACUGCUUCUGUCUAGUGCCUGGGAAUCUUGAGUCAAUCCCUCAGUAAGUCAGUGACUAGGGAAAUCCCUCUCUGAGACUCCCAGUUCAUGUUGCUUAGGGAACCUGAUAUUUUCGUGAAACCUGCCUACACAUGGGCAGCCCAACAGCAGAACAAAUGGUGGUGACCAAAGUGAACAAAGAAGUAUAGUUGUGCCAGCUUCGUAGUUGCCCAUGUGGACAAGUCAGCAGGAUCAGGACACGAGGAAGAGUAAAUGUGAGACAGUCAAUGUGACUUCUGCGAUAAACAGAUUUUUAAACCCCGAAAUUUUGCAAAAUUUUGGUGAAACCUGAACUUUCUUCGUUGCAUAUACUGGCACUAUCUGUACCAUCAUACAACCGUCUCACAUUAAAGCUAUUUUUCUUGGGCACUGAUGAGUAAGGUUGGUAUGUUUGAGUUCCUCAGAUCAACAAAAACCCAUUUUCCUGUAAGUCUUACAUUUAGUAUUUAAGGAACUAAAACUUAAAUACAUUUUGUGAAAUGGUUGACACUUCACUGAUAAUGAUUUAUUGCUUGGAUUAAUAAAUUUUCCAAAAGUUGUCUUAUGUAGAAUAUGGUUUGCAACCAGCAGAACCAUUAAUCUAUACUGCAAUGAUAUGCACUAUGUAUAAUUGUUUAAAAGCCUCUACUUAAUGAUGUAAAAUGCUCUAUUUAAUUACACAUUUGGGUAAACUGUAUACUAACAUCUGAUGGCAUUUUUCCACUGUUUGUUGCUUUUUUCAAAUACUUUAUUGUACAAAGCUGUUCUUAAUAUUUUUCAAGUUUUUUUCUUUGAAUUUUGCUAAUGUUUUCCUUGAAUUAUGAGCACUGACAGAAUGUGCUUAGCACUUUUGGCUAUUCACACAGCUUUUGAGCAUGAUUUGCAUCCAAUAUUUACAUUGCUAGCAAUAAUAAGCCAUCUGUGAGUUUUGUCAAAA